rnacentral:lncRNA from 1 species
AUGAAUUCUUCAUGCCCCGCACAAAGGGCAUCAAUAAUGCAUGGGCCCCCCCACCCCGCCCCGUCUCUGCUCGCUCAGCGCUGGUGGCAGCGCCCAGGGUGGCCUCCAGGCCCCACCGGCCGUGACAAACGCCCCCCAGGCCUUGUCCCCACACGACGCCCUCCGCCAACGGAGCCUCCAACUCGAGCCCUUUGUCCACCGGCGCUCAGACCAUGUAGACGUGGCAAGAGGGAGGGGGCACCCGCGGGCCCGGCUCAGGGGGACACCAGUGGUUCUCAGACUGGGUUCCCCGGAGCCCCCGAGGGCCACCCCAAGGACGGGCAGGGUCUGGCUGCCUGUCGGGCUCCGGGGGGGCUGGGGGGCCCCACACACACGUCGGGAGACCCCGCGGACGAGACAGCCCCGCCUCCGACUGAGAGAAAGGGAUGGAGGCUCCAGGGUCACCGGGCAGGAAGGGGACACAGCAGCUACAGGGGUCACGGCCCCAUCCGCUGCUCACCUCCACGCCCUCUGUCCUGGUCCCCAGCUCCCGCCCUCGCCCCACGGUCUGUCCUCGCCGCAGCCGCCACCAGAGGGCGCCCAGGAGCCCUGAGUCCUUCCCGCCCUCCUCCACCGGCAGCCCUCCAGGCUCCCCUCCCUGGGGCAGAAGCCAGUGCUUCCUGUGGCCCACAAGGCCCCGCACGACCUGCGCGGUCCCCUCCCUGCCCUCUUUCCUCCCUCCCUGCCCCUCUUCCCUCGGCUCCAGCCUCCUCACUGCUCCUCCCACACGCCUGCCCCAGGGCCUUUGCACGGGCUGUGCCCUCUGCCUGGGAUGCUCUUCCCCCCAGGUCUCCACAUGACUGUCUCUUUCUCGUCACUCAGCCCUCGGCUGAAUGUGAAAUGUCGCCUCCUCAGGAGGGCCUCCCAGAUCCCCCAUCUCAACUACCUUCUUCAUCCAUCUGUCCCUCCACCACCAGCACGCAAUCACCACUAAGCGUAAGGGUUUUUCUGGAGGAACGUGGCUCCCCCGAUCCUGUGAGCCGAGGGAGGGACGGCACCAGGUCGGCCCUGGCCACUGCCAGGUCCUGCACCAGGCGUGGCUCACAGUAG